rnacentral:rRNA from 1 species
AUUGAACGCUGGCGGAAUGCUUUACACAUGCAAGUCGAACGGCAGCACGGGGCAACCUGGUGGCGAGUGGCGAACGGGUGAGUAAUACAUCGGAACGUGCCCAAUCGUGGGGGAUAACGUAGCGAAAGUUACGCUAAUACCGCAUACGAUCUACGGAUGAAAGCGGGGGAUCGCAAGACCUCGCGCGAAUGGAGCGGCCGAUGUCAGAUUAGGUAGUUGGUGGGGUAAAGGCUCACCAAGCCAACGAUCUGUAGCUGGUCUGAGAGGACGACCAGCCACACUGGAACUGAGACACGGUCCAGACUCCUACGGGAGGCAGCAGUGGGGAAUUUUGGACAAUGGGCGCAAGCCUGAUCCAGCCAUCCCGCGUGCAGGAUGAAGGCUUUCGGGUUGUAAACUGCUUUUGUACGGAACGAAAAGGUCCUGGUUAAUACCUGGGGCUCAUGACGGUACCGUAAGAAUAAGCACCGGCUAACUACGUGCCAGCAGCCGCGGUAA